AUGCGCACUAAAGAGAUCAUCUAUCGUGGGAAGCGCCCAUCAGACAUAGAUAGUAAUACCAGUGCACCAGAUGCUGAUUUAGAAGGCAAGGAUAUCAUGCAAGAGGAGGAAUCGAAGCCAAAACGGCGGAGGACAGGCGAAAACGAGAAACUAAUGGAUGGAUCAAGCAAAAAGGGCAUUCAAGAAGAUCAUCAUGCAGUUAAUCGUGAUGCUGAUCCCUCGCAUGCGAUUGAAUAUCAUCAAGAGGUGUGUCAGAAAAAAGAUUCAAUAAACUUGUUGUGUGUUCUUUUAACUUGUUGCGUGUUCUUUUUGCAGGGCUAG
rnacentral:rRNA from 1 species